rnacentral:rRNA from 1 species
GACGAACGCUGGCGGCGUGCCUAAUACAUGCAAGUAGGACGCACAGCCUAUACCGUAGCUUGCUACACCAUAGGCUGUGAGUUGCGAACGGGUGAGUAACGCGUAGGUAACCUGCCUAUUAGAGGGGGAUAACUAUUGGAAACGAUAGCUAAUACCGCAUAACAGUAUGUAACACAUGUUAGAUGCUUGAAAGAUGCAAUUGCAUCGCUAGUAGAUGGACCUGCGUUGUAUUAGCUAGUAGGUAGGGUAAUGGCCUACCUAGGCAACGAUACAUAGCCGACCUGAGAGGGUGAUCGGCCACACUGGGACUGAGACACGGCCCAGACUCCUACGGGAGGCAGCAGUAGGGAAUCUUCGGCAAUGGGGGGAACCCUGACCGAGCAACGCCGCGUGAGUGAAGAAGGUUUUCGGAUCGUAAAGCUCUGUUGUUAAGGAAGAACGAGUGUGAGAAUGGAAAGUUCAUACUGUGACGGACUAACCAGAAAGGA